UACGUAGGGGGCAAGCGUUGUUCGGAAUUACUGGGCGUAAAGGGCGCGUGGGCGGCAUGGCAAGUCAGGAGUGAAAGGCCUGGGCUCAACCGAGGAACUGCUUUUGAUACUGCCAAGCUAGAGUGCGGAAGGGGCAACUGGAAUUCCCAGUGUAGCGGUGAAAUGCGUAGAUAUUGGGAAGAACACCUGAGGCGAAGGCGGGUUGCUGGGCCGACACUGACGCUGAGGCGCGAAAGCCAGGGGAGCAAACGGG
rnacentral:rRNA from 1 species